UGGCUCAGAUUGAACGCUGGCGGCAGGCCUAACACAUGCAAGUCGAGCGGAAACGACACUAACAAUCCUUCGGGUGCGUUAAUGGGCGUCGAGCGGCGGACGGGUGAGUAAUGCCUAGGAAAUUGCCUUGAUGUGGGGGAUAACCAUUGGAAACGAUGGCUAAUACCGCAUAAUGCCUACGGGCCAAAGAGGGGGACCUUCGGGCCUCUCGCGUCAAGAUAUGCCUAGGUGGGAUUAGCUAGUUGGUGAGGUAAUGGCUCACCAAGGCGACGAUCCCUAGCUGGUCUGAGAGGAUGAUCAGCCACACUGGAACUGAGACACGGUCCAGACUCCUACGGGAGGCAGCAGUGGGGAAUAUUGCACAAUGGGCGAAAGCCUGAUGCAGCCAUGCCGCGUGUAUGAAGAAGGCCUUCGGGUUGUAAAGUACUUUCAGUUGUGAGGAAGGGGGUAGCGUUAAUAGCGCUAUCUCUUGACGUUAGCGACAGAAGAAGCACCGGCUAACUCCGUGCCAGCAGCCGCGGUAAUACGGAGGGUGCGAGCGUUAAUCGGAAUUACUGGGCGUAAAGCGCAUGCAGGUGGUUCAUUAAGUCAGAUGUGAAAGCCCGGGG
rnacentral:rRNA from 1 species